UACGAGUGCCUCAAGCGUUAUCCGGAAUCAUUGGGCGUAAAGGUUGUGUAGGUGGUUAUAUUAGUCUUCUGUUAAAGCUCCCGGCUUAACCGGGAAAGUGCAGAGGAAACGGCAGGACUAGAGGAUGUGAGAGGUUUGCGGAACUCAUGGUGUAGGGGUGAAAUCCGUUGAUAUCAUGGGGAACACCAAAAGCGAAGGCAGCAAACUGGCGCAUUCCUGACACUGAAACACGAAAGCGUGGGUAGCGAAUGGG
rnacentral:rRNA from 1 species